UACGGGGGGGGCAAGCGUUGUUCGGAAUUACUGGGCGUAAAGGGCUCGUAGGCGGCCAACUAAGUCGGAUGUGAAAUCCCCAGGCUUAACCUGGGAACUGCAUCCGAUACUGGAUGGCUUGAAUCCGGGAGAGGGAUGCAGAAUUCCAGGUGUAGCGGUGAAAUGCGUAGAUAUCUGGAGGAAUACCGGUGGCGAAGGCGGCAUCCUGGACCGAGAUUGACACUGAUGAGCGAAAGCUAGGGGAGCAAACGGG
rnacentral:rRNA from 1 species